GUAAACCUUAGUGCCUCUGCAAAAAUAAAAAUGUGUCAUAAUUUGAUUAUUGAGAACACACAAUACUGAUUGGAAAACAUCUACACUUUCUGUCACGAACGCACCCAACUUCAAGAGUGUGUGUGAUGUAGUUGCGGUGGUGAAAGGGUUAAAAUUGACUAUUUGUCUGCACUAGACCGGAAAUAAUGAUAAAAUCCCACUUAACACCACCCACACUUAAGCAUAAUAAUAUAAAUAUUACUAUUUUAACGCUGCCACCACCAAGACAAUUUAUAAAUGGGGUGCCUUGGUCCCCCAGGU